rnacentral:piRNA from 1 species
UGCCGCCUUGUCAUCGGUUGUGUGAGUGU